rnacentral:sRNA from 1 species
UUAUUUAAUGUUAUCGUCUAAGUUAUGUUCCUAGUUCUUCUAAUGCCGUUAUGUUUCUAUUUCGUUUUAUCCUCUAUGCGUGAAGUUGUUCAAGUUCUUGUAAUGCUUCUAUAAAGUUAUGUUUCAAUUUGUGCUUAACCUCUGGUUUACAAGGUUUAUCGGUUUAAGGGUUUAUUCGGAUGUAAGCAAUAAAUUUGAAGUUUCGUAAUCCAUACUUCUUUCUGUACUUACAUUAUAACUUUAAAGUUACUAUAAAUGUAGGAAUAAACAUGAUUGGAUUGACGCAAAAAGACAGUUUUGUGAUAGACGUGGCCAGGCAUAAUAAAUACAAAUUUCAAUAUAGAUGUGCACGUGUAAAUCUGAACGUACAUAAACCAAUAAACUCGAAAAUUGUAAUUUGAAGUUUCGGUUUUAAUCGGAAAUAGUUUAUAGUUUAC